AAUCAACGCUGGCGGCGUGCCUAACACAUGCAAGUCGAACGCGAAAGCCCCGCAAGGGGCAAGUAGAGUGGCAAACGGGUGAGUAACACGUGGGUGACCUGCCUUCGAGUGGGGGAUAACGUCCCGAAAGGGACGCUAAUACCGCAUGACAUCCUGCUCUUGGACGAGUGGAGAUCAAAGCCGGGGAUCGCAAGACCUGGCGCUUGAAGAGGGGCCCGCGCCUGAUUAGCUAGUUGGUGAGGUAAUGGCUCACCAAGGCGACGAUCAGUAUCCGGCCUGAGAGGGCGGACGGACACACUGGGACUGAGACACGGCCCAGACUCCUACGGGAGGCAGCAGUGGGGAAUUGUUCGCAAUGGGCGCAAGCCUGACGACGCAACGCCGCGUGGAGGACGAAGAUCUUCGGGUCGUAAACUCCUGUCGAGCGGGAAGAAACCCGCGGGGAUGAAUAAUCCCUGUGGCUGACGGUACCGCUAAAGGAAGCCCCGGCUAACUCCGUGCCAGCAGCCGCGGUAAUACGGGGGGGGCAAGCGUUGUUCGGAAUUACUGGGCGUAAAGGGCCAGUAGGCGGCCAACUAAGUCGGAUGUGAAAUCCCCAGGCUCAACCUGGGAACUGCAUCCGAUACUGGAUGGCUUGAAUUCGGGAGAGGGAUGCAGAAUUCCAGGUGUAGCGGUGAAAUGCGUAGAUAUCU
rnacentral:rRNA from 1 species